UACGUAGGGCGCAAGCGUUAUCCGGAAUUAUUGGGCGUAAAGAGCUCGUAGGCGGUUUGUCGCGUCUGCCGUGAAAGUCCGGGGCUCAACUCCGGAUCUGCGGUGGGUACGGGGCAGGCUAGAGUGCGGUAGGGGGAGACUGGAAUUCCUGGUGUAGCGGUGAAAUGCGCAGAUAUCAGGAGGAACACCAAUGGCGAAGGCAGCUCGCUGGGACGGUACUGACGCUGAGACGCGAAAAGCAUGGGGGAGCGAACAGG
rnacentral:rRNA from 1 species